rnacentral:rRNA from 1 species
UACGUAGGUGGCAAGCGUUGUCCGGAUUUACUGGGCGUAAAGAGCGCGCAGGCGGUCGUUCAAGUCGCGUGUGAAAGCCCCCGGCUCAACUGGGGAGGGUCACUCGAUACUCAUCGACUUGAAGGCAGGAGAGGGAAGCGGAAUUCCCGGUGUAGUGGUGAAAUGCGUAGAUAUCGGGAGGAACACCAGUGGCGAAGGCGGCUUCCUGGCCUGCUCUUGACGCUGAGGCGCGAAAGCUAGGGUAGCAAACGGG